CUACUGGCCGCUCCAGUGGGGAAUAUUGGACAAUGGGGGAAACCCUGAUCCAGCAAUGCCGCGUGUGUGAAGAAGGCCUGCGGGUUGUAAAGCACUUUCGGUUGGGAGGACUGCUUCUAGCACUAAUAUUGUUGGAAGUUGACGUUACCUUCAGAAGAAGCACCGGCUAACUCCGUGCCAGCAGCCGCGGUAAUACGGGGGUGCAGGCGUUAAUCGGAAUUACUGGGCGUAAAGCGCGCGUAGGCGGCUAGAUCAGUCGGGUGUGAAAGCCCCGGGCUUAACCUGGGAACUGCAUCCGAUACUGUCUAGCUUGAGUACAGGAGAGGAGAGUGGAAUUCCACAUGUAGCGGUGAAAUGCGUAGAUAUGUGGAGGAACACCAAUGGCGAAGGCAGCUCUCUGGCCUGAUACUGACGCUGAGGUGCGAAAGCGUGGGGAGCAAACAGGAUUAGAUACCCCUGUAGUC
rnacentral:rRNA from 1 species